CAGCCGCCACGGGAAUACAGAGGGUGCGAGCGUUAAUCGGAUUUACUGGGCGUAAAGCGUGCGUAGGCGGCUUCUUAAGUCGGAUGUGCAAUCCCUGAGCUUAACUUAGGAAUUGCAUUCGAUACUGGGAAGCUAGAGUAUGGGAGAGGAUGGUAGAAUUCCAGGUGUAGCGGUGAAAUGCGUAGAGAUCUGGAGGAAUACCGAUGGCGAAGGCAGCCAUCUGGCCUAAUACUGACGCUGAGGUACGAAAGCAUGGGGAGCAAACAGGAUUAGAUACCCCGGUAGUCCCUGUCUCUUAUAC
rnacentral:rRNA from 1 species